rnacentral:rRNA from 1 species
GAUGAACGCUGGCGGCGUGCCUAAUACAUGCAAGUCGAGCGAACAGACGAGGAGCUUGCUCCUUUGACGUUAGCGGCGGACGGGUGAGUAACACGUGGAUAACCUACCUAUAAGACUGGGAUAACUUCGGGAAACCGGAGCUAAUACCGCAUAAUAUAUUGAACCGCAUGGUUCAAUAGUGAAAGACGGUUUUGCUGUCACUUAUAGAUGGAUCCGCGCCGCAUUAGCUAGUUGGUAAGGUAACGGCUUACCAAGGCAACGAUGCGUAGCCGACCUGAGAGGGUGAUCGGCCACACUGGAACUGAGACACGGUCCAGACUCCUACGGGAGGCAGCAGUAGGGAAUCUUCCGCAAUGGGCGAAAGCCUGACGGAGCAACGCCGCGUGAGUGAAGAAGGUCUUCGGAUCGUAAAACUCUGUUAUUAGGGAAGAACAAAUGUGUAAGUAACUAUGCACGUCUUGACGGUACCUAAUCAGAAAGCCACGGCUAACUACGUG